rnacentral:rRNA from 1 species
UACGUAGGGCGCAAGCGUUGUCCGGAAUUAUUGGGCGUAAAGAGCUCGCAGGCGGUCUGUCGCGUCGGAUGUGAAAGCCCGGGGCUUAACCCCGGGUCUGCAUUCGAUACGGGCAGACUAGAGUGUGGUAGGGGAGACUGGAAUUCCUGGUGUAGCGGUGAAAUGCGCAGAUAUCAGGAGGAACACCGGUGGCGAAGGCGGGUCUCUGGGCCGAUACUGACGCUGAGGAGCGAAAGCUAGGGUAGCAAACGGG